UAGGUGAAGGAUCUUAAGCCGGAGAAGAAGCUUUGCGAGUCAAGUAUAGGUUAGAGCAGAUUUCAAGGUUGAGUCUCAAGUCUUUCUCAAGCACUAAGCAUAUUCCUUCAGUAGAGUCAGAGUAUCUUUCAGUGCUAGGGGAAUCCCCUGUUUUCUCUUAUCUAGCGGUGCGAGUGUGGGUGCUCUAGCUCUAAGUCUUGUUCGCGGUCCGUAACACCUCCAGUUGGUAACAAAUCCUUUCACCCUUGGUAACUUGGUAUUAUAUAGAAUUGGAUUAAGUAAUUUGAGCUAGAUGAUUAACAUCCAUUGCGAGAACAAGCAAGAAAUAUGAGAAGUUGGUCAGCUUCAUUCAAGUCAAGUUUCUUCACUUAUACUUCUAGGCGAGGUCGGCAAAGGAACAGGCAGUCGCAAGAAAAGACAUAUAUAAGUGGGGGUCUGUUGCAAUUCCAUUAUGAACUUCAAGUCGAGUGUCUAAAUCUGCGAGAGAGGAUCUUGGCGCUUGUCAGGUCAGAUGAACUUCUUGUUUACUUCUUGUGUCUAAGUCAUAGAGAGCAGCUAGUCAUUAUAGCGAUAGCGGUAGUUUCGUCUAGGAUGCUAGUGUUGUCUUAGAGAGAAUAAGAAUCAUCAAGUCAAUCAACAGCCCGCUGAAAGUAUUGUUUCGGGUGCUUGACUUUUCUCCUAUGGGGAAGAAUAGGUGUUUAGUGAAUUUUCUCUAUUAGACCUAGUGAAAUCCCCUUCUUCUUCUUAGGCCCCGCCCGCGAAAUUAUUACUUAUUGUAUUCCUGUUUCAUUCUAACUUGACCACUUUCCUCAUUCUAACUUUCCUUAGCGAGUCAAUUCACACUUAUGAGUGGAAUUCUUAGCCAGCUUCUUUUCCAGAUCCGGAUUCUGCAUUCCUAACAGCUUGAGCAACUAAAGUGGGGAUAGGGCCUGUUUGAAGCUAUCCUAAUUCUUAUAGCCUGGGGAAUGGAAUCUUUCUCGUAUUACCUCUUUAUAUACUUCACCCGCUUCGCUUGCUGCUGCCUUACUUGAAACUACUGAUUCGGCUUCUGCUUUCAAUCUAGCUUCUGCAGAUUCUUGAGUAAAUGACAGCACCUCCUCUAUCACCUCUUCUAUAACCUCUUCUAUAUGAAUGAUACGAAUACGACAAAACCAGAACGGAAAUAGACUCCACAGCACCAAAGCAUCCUUUACUUCAAAUACUUGUUUCAGAAACGAGUUCUGCGCGUACCUCAAUGGCUUCAGAAGCCUUGUUUCUCCUCCAUAAGCUCACACGUUAGCCCUAGCGGGAAGUACUCUCAUCUCACACAGGUCUAUGUGUUAUUAAGAAGACAUACAUUCGUUGGGCAGCUCCCGAGUAUCAAUGAACUAUUUAUUUGCUAUAAGAUGAGUUGAACCCAUGUUCCACUAAGCAACGCAACAAAGGCUAUGGUCUCUGAGAGUGGUCCAAGUCGUUAACUGCUUGUUCCGAGUCUACCAGUAAAAGAAUGGAGUGCUUCAGAUUGCCCAAGUAGUUAUGCAGAUUGUAGUCAUGAAGUUCAGAUUAUUACCCGAAGAAGUAAGCGUUAGCGUAACGGCGAGGAAAACAUGAAUUUCUCUAUUACUGGCGAUUACGAGGAAAACAAACAUGAAUUUCUCUAUUACUGGCGAUUACUUAUAUAUAAGAUAGGAACCCCAAAACUCACUCACUUUCAUCAUGAAGCUAGGAACCCCGAACCUAACACUACGAAGAUAGGCACCCCGAAAUUCAUUAAUUUGAAUAACCGACAAGAUAAACUGAAUGAAUUGCCUUAAUCGCUGAGUAUAGUGGGCAUUCGCAUAGAUGGAUUCUUCCCGAACAAGACUUAGAGCUACAGCACCUCCGUAGUUGAUAAAAUAGAGAAAUAAUCUCCAUUAAGGCAGCAACAGUACGGGCCAAGCAACUAAGAGAGACGCCAACUCGUUAUAAACUCGUUAUGAGCAAGUCCUGUGCUCGGCGCCAGUUGUUACGGGACAAGUAACUACUAAUGUUACGCGUCAGUUAAUAGUUCGCUGUCGCGUCAGCGAGUGAAAAGAGCGGCAGGAGCCUGUUGUUGAAAGUGAAUUUGUUUGAGUUCACAGAGCAUAAGUGGAAGUCGAGGUCUGUUAUGAAAGUCUAGUUAUUACCCCUGAGAGUAGUGGGGCAGUUUCAUCAGUAGUUGUUAGUGGAAUCCCUUGUUUCAGUGGAAGGUAUCAUAUCUCGUCACAAGUUGCGAUUCAAUUCAAACGCGUCUGGUAGAGUUAUGUUCUGCUCGCGUUAGGAGUGAAACGCGUUAGGAGCUGUAGUUGCUUUGCUUGUUCGGUAACCUUACUCUUUCCUUUAAGAACGAAUAUUGGCACCCACCCCGAGUUGCUUGUUCUCUACCACUCCGGACUCUUGGCUCUAAUCUUUGCUCUGCUCUUGACUUCUACUUCGCAUUUUCUGUAUCGCCUUACUCUUGUGCCCUAGCUUGCUGAAUGGAAUUGAAAAGUUGGAAGUCACUAUUAAUACUUAUAUAGGAGUUGUGGUAAAGAGGAAAGAAUUCAUUACUAUCCAGAGUUGCAAGCACAGAUUCUACUGCUUUGAGGCGAGUGAGGAAGACAUAGUAAGGAGCCCUGCCCCAUAUAGUAUAUAGUAAAAGUAAUCAACUAUUUCUUGACCAACCCUAAGCCAAAGUAAUCAACUAUUUCUUGACCAACCCGAGUUCUCUGUCCUUUUAGUAUGCUAGAUUUAGUACCCCCCGUACCCUUGAGUGGAAUGAUUUGUUGAAAGUGUAGUUCUUGCCCCUGAAAGUUGUAGUUGAGUUUCAUCUGUCUUUGUUGCCCGAGGUAGAUGAGAGUCCUGCUCCACGAGGUCAAAGAAUCCAUUACUAUUCUUAUUUACCGCAAUAAGCAUUUCACUACUUAUAGCUUCCCUUACUCAAAAGAAUAUAACUCAGGUUGUCAACUAACUCCCUAAACUGACAUAGAUGCUUGGCAAUUACAAUAAGGGCUUAUCUUCAGUAGUAGCCUGUAUUCUUGGUCAUUACAGGACAAGGACAGAUUCUCUCUCUUCUCUGGUCGACCACUAAUGUAUAGCGUUAGUAAUAAGUUGUGAAGUCAAAUUGCCUGUUUCUCUGCACUGCCCUAUAGUAGUAACGGAAGUAGACCUCAGUUGUUUGUCGACUGUCGACUUGUUGCGUAGUGUCUUGGCUGGGGCAGAAUCUCUUUUCGAAUGCUAAACUGCGGAUUCAACGUAUAUAAGGUCCAAGGGAAAAGUAAAGUGAAGUCAAUAGUUUGAAAGAGCAGGCUCGUUAAGUCUCUAGUUUCAAGAGCAGAAGCGGGAAGUUUAGUUGCCAGUUUACAGAGGAUAGAUAGCCGGUAUUGAACUAUAAAGAAUGGAGGCCAAGCAGGCAUACUGGCUUUGAAGCGAGGUAGGCGGGCUGGUCUAUUCUCUUCUUUCUUCCCUUAGUAACUGAUAUCUUAUAUAUAGUCUUUCUUCCCUUAGUAACUGAUAUCUUAUAUAUUGUUAUUAAAGAAGCCUGUCUUAUUCCUAUCCGGAGUCUCCUUAUCGGGGGUCGGCAGCCAAACUACAACUAAGUAAGUAUAUGAAUAAUAAUGGAAAAAGAAUUCCACUUGAAUAACCGAUUGAAGCUGACCUUGAAACAGCACUGCAACUAACCAUAUUAUAUGACAAAUGAGAAAGCUUCCUAAACUUCCGGUCAUAACCUGACUUUAGAACUGCUUCUUUUGCACUUGUUUGGGGACUAUCCCUAUUGGUAGCGAGGGUUGGAGAAGGUACCCGGACUGCCGCGUCACCAUGAAUUAAGGGCCCAGACUUGGCAUCCGAAACUUCUUAUAGAUAGAGGCAUCGACCUAGACCACUCCUGUAACUUUCCCUUAUAUUUAAAGCUACUUGCUACGUGUUUGCCUACGUUUGCGCCAAAACCAUAUCUCUUAUCUGCUGCAAAGACUGGUUCCCCCCUACUAGUAACGCUUGAUCUUCAUUAACUUCAGCUAGGAUAUAUUUGCACAGCGAAGCCCAAGACCGAAGGCAAGCAACGACUAAUGUUGCGCGGCAGCAACGAAUAACGAGAGAUAACGAGUUAUGAGAAAGUCCUGUGUUCGGGUGCUGAAAGCCUGCAAAUUCAGGGAAGAUCCUUCGGAAGGUGCGGGGCGCUCCCUUGCUCAAUAGACCGACUUCUAAGAAAAUGCCCACAUAGAAGCAGUUGCCUUUAUCAACGUUAUGCCCGUGAGCAACAAUUAUGCUUCUUACCUUGAGCUUAUCGUUGAUUCGUUUAAGGAUUAUUCUUUUAUCCACUUUUCGACUUGCUGCAGCGGACUCUGUUCUAGCAAGUGCAAGCUUAAGCAGUAAAUACCUUCUGCGAUUGUUACUAUCAGUCGUUAACAAAGCUUUAUUUCGUACCAUGUUGAAACACUACUGAUUAUCUUCUAGGCUGGUAUACUACAUAUGGGUUGAUGAAACCCAUCCAAAAUGAGAUUCAGAGUACCAUAAGCAAACUCUCCAAAUUACAUUUAGGUCAGGUACCCUUCAUCUAAAUAAAACUAGAGAAGGAAGGCACUAUCCAUGAAAAUAUCACUAGAAUGGAGAAAGAUACUCUAUCUAAUGGAGAGAGAGAUACUCUAUCUGAUGGAGAGAGAGAUACAAUAUCUAAUAGAAAGAGAGAUACUAUAUCAGAAAACUCCACAACAAAAGGAGAUUGAGGGUAAGGAAGGGGGGAAUUCUCUAUGCGUCCCUACUGUUAAUGAAUCGAUGCCCAUUGUCACCAAUAGAUAAUAUAGAGAAAGGGAAAGAGAAGUGAGCGCAUCAAAAAGAAAGACAAAAGCGUAGCCAAAAAGAAAGACAAAAGCGUUGCCGAAAAACAGAAAAGAAGUCGUUAUGGAAAUGCUCUUUUGUCUCUAUUUGAGUUAGAAUUCCUUAGUGAGAAAACUAUGAAAUCAGUAUAUGAUAAUGAACCUAACAACAUUCCUUUAUGAAUACGGGAGACUCAAUAUAUGAUAAUGAACCUGGCAUCAUUUCUAUAUGAGUAAUAGACACUUUUCUUUCUAUUUGAAAUGUAAGAAAAAGCGACAUCCGCAAGGCUCUUAGCACCUGAAUACUGGACUAUAUUCUAUUUGUUAUCUGCUUAGCUUAGGUACAAUACAUUAGUUAUAGUGGAUCUGAGCAUGUGGCAUACGAAGGGUUGUCAGUUCUUAAAGUGCUUUUAGAGUGGAAUACCGGAAUCAAACAAAGCAAAGUUGUAGAAGAAUGAGAUCAAUAAGAGCAAGGAUCGAAUCGGAGCAUACAAGACCCCAUGGGGAAUCAAAGACAUAAGUAGUAACUAACCUAGGGCUGCCAAGACUUAAUGCUAUAUUGGGCAGAAUGUAAAUACUCUGAAUUAUAAUGCAACUACUGAUAACAAGGCUCUUGCUCCCUACUCUUAUUCUUACUAAAUAUUCAAUCCGUCUCCCCUUACUUGGUUUCAUCCUUCCUGGUAGCAGUGUCAGUUUAGGAGAAAGUCCAAGCAGGGCAGUGGAUAGGGUAGUCAAAGUGAAAGCGAGGUUCGAGAGCUGUAUAGGGAAGUUCUAGUUACAAAGGUAAGUCCUGUCAGCAAUAGGUGUAUUCUUUAUUGCCUAUUUCAUUAUUCAGAGCGGUAGGUGCUGCCUGCCCCCAAAGAUGACUUGCCCGGUUAUCGCUCUUUGACUGCUACCUAUGAUCCUUACUUGCUUGGUUCCACUCUCCCCUCUGUCAACUCAUUCCAUUCCAUUCUUCAGUAGUCGUAGCUUGGCCCACGAAGACAGCACUCGGUAAGGGCACCGCCUUCAACUUAAUGCUCGUAGCCUUGAAUUCCACAGUAAUACAAUCCAAAUGCUUAUUUCUUGGGGUACGUUCACAAUUGAUUCGAAUCCUCGUUGAUCCUUCGUUCGUAGUGGUUAUAGUGAGAAAGCCCUGCCUUUAGACGAUAAAGCCCUCUUUGACAUCCCCUAGACAAAUCAAUAGGAUCAUUUUGGUUCCUUUGAUGAUGAACCACUCCAGUACAGACUAGUAGGAGUCAAUUUGGAGGCCCACUUCUUCUUCUGUUUUCCUUCCAAGGGGCUUUUGGCUUUCUAAUAACACCCCCAAAACCGAAUGACUGAAUCCGCAAAGAAAAUGUUAGGAUGGGCUGGUCCACACUUUGAUUCCCUAUCGGUUGAUACUCUCCAGACGGAACCAACCUAAACUGAUUGAACUCAAGCAAUCGCAGCUACUUUCUAUUCCACUGCCUUCUCUAAACCACCAACAACGGAUACGACAAGAGCAGCAGCGGCAACUAAAGUAGCAUCGGCUAGGCUUACUUACGAGACUAUGAGGAUUCCCUUUCUCCUUAUCUUAGACUAUGAGGAUUCCCUUUCUCCUUAUUUUAUAUAGAACUAUAGUAGGCAAGGCCUUCCUUGUUCUUCCACUCCCCGGUUGCAUUCUUGGUUGUAGUGGCUGCAUUCUUGCCCUCACUCAUUUCAUCCUUUGACUCCUUAGCUGCAGUCCCAUACUAGCUACCCCUUCUUUCAUUCGAUAACAACUCCCUUCCCCGGCGCUGUGAGUCUUGAAAGUGCAAUUCCAGGAUUUGAAGAAGGAUAAUCAUCUGUUAGGUAACUUCUUUCUAUACCGGGUUAGAGAGCUUUAAGGUCAGGGACGGGACUUGAUGCCGCCUAAACGAUACAACCACUUAUUGGAGUUGCUUUUGACCCUGGAAAUAGUGAAUUAAGCGUUAGUGAUCUCUUUGCCAUUGAAGGAGCGGAUGAUGGAUGAAAAGCUGUAUCUUGUUCCGCGUUAUAAGCAGUAGUAACAAAUAAUCACUAUCGUUAUGACUAUAGCUUGUUCCGACACCUCGCUUAAGAAUCACCUCUCUCUCCACGACCAACGUCAACAACAGGAGAUACUAUACUUUUAGAAGCCUUAGACACAAGCACUCUCACCUCUCUGCUAAGAACCUAUUUCUUCUCUUGGAUACAACGCGCUUUAGGGUUCCCUUGCUUUAAGAUCCGGGUAGGUAUUAAGAAUGGAGUGUGCAUCAUAUAGAGUAGGUAUUAAGAAUGGAGUGUGCAACAUAUAGAGGGUAAGAAAAGCACUCUACAGGACAACUUACUCGAACCUAACUACUUUACUUGUUGAAACCUAACUCCGUACUUAUAAAGCAACAACGUGUGUAAACAAAUAAUUCCAUCUAUCUAUCUUGCGCAGAAGUAACAAAUCAUUGAAAUUGAACUUUCGGAAUUUCCACCCCCCUUUUGCGUCGUAAUACCUCUUCAGAGAAUUCCCUAUCUUGCCUUGCCCCCCGAAAUGCUCUGAUAAUGCUUUGACGCCUAGAAUCUUUACUUUCGAACUAACUUGUUUCAUCUGAAUGGAAAAUCCUAUUAGUAGCAUAUGCAUAUGAUAGAGGAGCGUAAACACCCUGGCUUUCAGACUCUCAAGAAGGGGAGACACCAGCUUCUUUCUCUUCUACUUAUACUAGCUUAUUGACCCGAACCCUAGACUCCUGUAAGGAAUUCUGGCCUUUGUAAAACUCCCUAACGCACUUAAUAACGGCUAACGCGAGCGGAGUUGCGCUAACCAGGAGCUUACCUUGGCUUGGCUACCCGCCUCAGGAGUCCUUAUUCUCGUACUUAGCUACUCAUCUUUACAUAUAAAGGAAACUAUAUCUCCUUUGAAGCUAGGGAUUACUAUAUUCUAAAGAAGAACAGAGUGGAAAUAAAACAAGGCAAACAACACUAAGUGCGCUAACGGCAAAAGAGAUACAGAAAAUGAUUGAGCAGGGAAAAAGUGCAAAAGUGGAAUCUUGAAAGUAUGAUGAUGACUACUAUUACAACAGGUAACCAAACAGCUGGCUGACUGCUUUCAUACGAGACUCCCUUACUUUACAGAAGAAUAAAGAGAAUGCCGCUGUGCUAAAGUCAGUUUCAAGUCUUGUUCAAGUUAUUGUUCGUUUGACUCUCUAGCAUUGCAUCUAAGUGAUUCAUCUUCUGCCCUUCACAACACUGCUACGCCAGUACUAUAUUAUUUCUCUUAUUAUUUACCAGAACUAUACGUGAGAACAGAAACAUUAUUUCCUUACUUGAGCCAAGAUAGCGCAACGGCUUCAUUUCAAUAGAACUCUAUACUCUAGCAUCACAUAGAAGAUCUUUUCUCUGAUAACGAUAACAAGAGCAUCGCAUUAACCGUGCUGUCAAGACAGUUACAGUUGAGUCAUCAGUAAAUAUGGAAUUGAUUAUUAGUAAUGAAGAUUGAAAUGCGCUGAUCUCAUUCUUGCUGUACUGGUUUCGAUUCUUGCUAGCCCUUGUUUGAGCCUGUAACACCCAAGCAUCAGUCUGCCCAGCACUGGGUUAAGGCUGUAACUACAUAGCAUCAGUCUACUACACCUACAGAUCAGUCCGCCCGGCACUGAGUUAAGUCUUAGAUACACCGGUUGAAGUCCGAGUAUACCUAGCUUCAAUCCUGUUGGUAGUGGUUGCAUUCUAAGAUUGACUGGUUUCAUUCUGAGUCACUCAGUUACUGUAUCAGCCUUGGACUUACUGCUUUCAGGCUGCUCCUCACUAGCUACAUCCUCCCACCGACCAGUCGCAUCCUGUCACACUCCCGAGUUUGAGUCUAUCAUUCCCUUGGUUCAUUCUGUGACUCCCGGGUUUGAUCUGUCAUCCUUAAUAAGAAGAGAUAGAAAUCAGUAGGGGACAAGCCUACAAAAGAGAUCGAUUGACUACUUGCUUAACACAAGCACUUAAUCCAGAGAUCUUAGGCCAAUAACUUCCCUUUCAUAGACUUACUCCUUACAGCUUAUAGGCGACAUCCCGAGUGGAACUUAAUAAAUAGGGGUGGUCGACCAGAUCAGAUGUUGUGCUAACGGUUUCAGGACUUACUAAUGCACCCGUUCCGAGAGGGAUAACCGGAAUUAGAUGAGAUGAGAGCCUAGGGUAUCAUAGAAUUGGGCCAUAGUACUUAAUUGGCAGUUGUUACAUUGAGUGGAGACUACUGUCAGCAGCAGCCCUUAAGUGAAUGGUUAAGUCAACCAGAUCCGUAGAAUCAACUUCAUCCGGGGCAACUGAUCCUGCCUAUGGAACUACUUUCAUUCUAUCUUUAUUAUAUAAUAGAACGGAUUCAACUCGGUUUAGCCUUAUUCCUUGCCUACUCCUAUAGUACCUGGUUCUUUUCCAGUUGUUGGUAUUAAUGGCGUUGCGGGAGUUCUUUAGCAAAGGCACAGAAAGGAGAGUCUCAGGUGUUUGAUUUCCAGUUUCAUCACUUAUUUCAAAGGAUUAUAAUAAGGGGUGGGACUAAUUAAUAUACUCUGCUCGGUCACUAAUCCUUUCACCCGGCAGUGCUUUGUUGUUGACAGAUAAGAAACAUCAGAAGCGGUUAAGGCUUACGGAAUGAGGUCAGUCAGAUAACCUUACUUGCUUCCGCGCCUAUAAUUCUAAGUCAAAGCCUUCACUUGACUUGCUUGACUUAUUAGUGGUUUUGAGCAUCUAAAGGAAUAAGGGUAAUCAGUAAGUUCGGGUGCUAAAUCUCUGACUGGCUUUGAUCUAAGUAAGGAAGUAGAAUCUCUUUCAUCCCAACAAGCAGACAAAUAAAGGCAAAGAGAGAAGACAAGUAACGGCGCAAGUACUGUGUUUCUUAUUUCCUCUUUCAGAACUCUUGAACUCCGGAGAUACCACUUUCUUCUUGCUUGUUUGAAAUGAAUCGCAACUAAACGAGAGACUUUAGCCGGGACUUCUUGAAAGCAGGGUAGCUCCGUAUUUAUUACUUAAUUGGCUGGACUGGCAAGUAAUGUAUUUGGCCCUAUUCUUCUCUGUAAACUAAUACAGUGCAUUCGGCUCAUCAGCACUAACGGAGUUCAAAGAGCAGAAGUGGAAGUCGGAAGUUGACAAAACCCGUGUUUUUUGAUAGCGACCAUGGUUUCCCUCCUGAGCCGAUCAAGAGGAUAGAUAAUUUUAUGAAACCCCGGUAAAAAACAUAGCAUGGACAUUUCCCCUCCUGGAGCACCCGAAACGGACUUCCUUUUUGCGUUUUCCCGUGCAACAACGCUGCCGCGUCACCGAACGCAUAGGGAGUAAGAGAGCAAACAUAACUGUUUAUGUUCGUUUAUUAUUAUAGUUGUGUUUUAGGCCUUGCCUGGUUGUAAAUGGAUUUCCCUUCCUGAGGCACCAGAUGGAAAUUACAAUUUUACGCGAACACAGGACUUGUAAUAACUCUGUUAUGACUAUUACUUGCUGCCGCACAACAUUAGUAGUUGUUUGGCCCCGGGAUUUUAGAUAGCAAAUGGAUAAUAUCUCCUCGGAUCUAGCCUCUGAUCGAGUAUUGCAACACCCGAACUACUAGACUGGAGAGUUGAGAGCGAAGUUACCCUCUUAUACUAGAUGCGGGCAAUCGGUGGGAUUACUCACUGACUUAAGGCUUACUAGUGACAUUCUUAGACUGCUUAGCUCAAUUCUGUAAGUCCUACUUCUGAGCUUUUGGUCUCCUACUUAUGGGUCUCCUACUUAUGAGUUGGAUUCUUCCUUUCAAUUGCCUCGUAGCCAACAAGCAACUACUAAUGACCAAGCCUAUUUCCCUUUCCUUACUAACGACCAAGCCUACUUCCCUUACCUUAACAGCUACACGCAUGGGUUCUACUACUUGCACUCAAAGAGAUUCUCAGCCCCUACCCAGACACUUCCGCUUUCAAUUCACACUUUCAUAUAAGAUAUGGAUCAAAUAGAUUCGUUUUGGUUUCAUUCAACAAUAACUCCGUGAUUGCUUGGCUCUUCUCCUUCUCUGGCUUCGGUAUCAAAGCAAGUACUCUCUUUCUCUUCCGCCUCUCCUCUGGCUCUGUCAACAACUCCUCUUCUCUUGCGAGCACAUAGUAAGUAGGCGCCAAGUUACUCGUAUACACCUCCGGCAACUAUACCUCUGGCUCAUCUCUUCUCUUCCAAUACUCCAUCUGUUCUCUUCUCUUGCUUGGCGAGUUUCAUCCGCUCUCCUAUAAUAAAGAAGAGAAAGAAAUAGUUUCAUAAGAGAAAUAAUUCGACAAGCCACCACUAGAGCAAGAGCACCAACACCUAGACCAGAAAAAGAAUUUCUACCUAUUUCCAUUUAUACCCCUGUAUUCGAGAGUAAAGUUUCCAGUGUUGGCGAGUUGAUUGAGUCUGCAAGCCCAGUUACAUAGCUGCGGGACAAUAAGUUUACCUUUCUUAUGGCCCAAGUAGUAGAUAACCUGGUGUAAAUAGAAUCCUAUAAUAAGAUAAUAUUCAUUUGAUAAGAUAAUAUUCAUUUGAUAGGGACCAAGCAACAACUGCUAAUGUGACGCGGAGGAAGUCCUGGUUGCUUGGCGGUUGGUUACCAGAAUCUAGAAUACCUAAAUAAGCCAGGAGGAGAUUGCUAAGAGAAUAACGAGCAUAUCCUUUGUUUCCUGUGAGUCCAUUGUUGUGGCAAAGGAGCGAGCACCUAAUAUAGAUCAAAAGUCAGGAUACUGCAGAGAAUAUUUGCAAGAAGAGUCAUUUCUUUAGCUCUUAUAGUAAGUUGAGAGAAACCUGGCCUGUCCUGUCUAAUAGGCGUUUACCCUGAAACAAGUAGUAGUCCAAGUAGUAGUCCAGUGAAGAAUUAGACUAGUUGUGUGCGUGUGGAGAAGGGUGUUAUCGAACUGCUUCCACAGCUUCAAACUUAUAAACAGGUGGGCCUGGCAAUACAACUAAACUCUCCACGACACCACGCUUCAAAACCACGACAGAGCUAAGUAACCAACCAUAGGCAUAGAGCUAGGUCUGCAGUUGGAGUGGAUGAGCUAGAGGCAUUCUAUAAGAAAGAAAGAAAUCAAGUUAGCAGCGAGAGCCUUUUUGCCAGUACUGUUCUGGUUCUUGUGGAAUUAUGUGCUUACUACUUGGUUAGGUAGAAGACAUGGCCUGUCUCUCACCUCCGCCUUGCGCCUGUUCCGAGAUACUUUCCAGUGCGGGGCAAUCCAUCUGGCAUUCAAUUCGUUUCCGAUAGAAGGGAAGUCAAUUCUGUUACUUAUUUAUUGUUGACAGCAGAUAGAGUUGGGUAAGAUCUAUCGAGCAGGCCCUAAUACAUAAUUGGUAGCGCAUUCUAUUCUUUCUUUGUCUUUUGGGGUAACUCAGGAAGCGGGGAGUGGAGAAUCAUAAGAUAGGGGCUUCAAAUGCAUUCUUUCGCAUCGCCAAGACGUUUAAUGACAAAUAUGACAUCUCAAACCCCCUUUGGAACCUAGAAACUCAUUGAUGCCUAUAAGAUUGAUGGUAGUUCAGGGCAGACUUAGAUAGGUAGUUGCGCGUCAGGCCAAGACACUACUACAAAGGCAUAACUCGUAAGAAAGAAGCAAGGCAUGGGUUCCACCAGUGCGGUAUCUCAGAACAAGGCAUGGGUUCUAUCCCCAAGAAUAGCGUGAAAAAUGCACUAUUUCACUAGUUUUUUCUUUGAUAGCAAAUCUUUCAUGUCACAACCCCAUUGGGGCCAAUAAAUGAAUUUGAGCCUAACAUCUUUAGGGUUCCCUUGGGGCAGUUUCAUCCCCUCGUACCAAUUACUUACUAGAAACUCCCUUCCCUUUAGCCUCUCGUACCAAUUACUUAAGGGCACAGGGCUAUUCUACAACAUCCCGGCUCAUCUAUAUAUGGCUCAGUCCAAUCAAUAACUCCCCUUUGGCAUUCUUCCGAACUAUGAGACCAAACCACAGCAAUAAGGCUUAACCGAGUCCUAAUGAAUAGCGUCAAUCCUCUUAGGUCCUAUCGAACAAUAACUUUACUACCAAUCGGACUUCCUGGACUACCAGUGUCGGACUACCUGGACUACCAGUGCUUUCACUUCACACGGAUUCAACUUCAACACCCGGCCCGGCAUCAGAUCUUACCUUAGCACCUGACCCGACCUCUUAUAAGUGCCCGACCCGAACUAACUCGAUCCUACUUGCCCACUUUAGAGUGGCCCGAACUAACUCGAUCCUACUUGCCCACUUUAGAGUGGAUUUCUUUCUUUCUGUCUUAUGAGACCCCUAAGGCUAGGCACCCACAUCUAUAAUCUAUAUAAAUGACACUCCGACCUGCCCCGUAAUGUUACUUCAAUGAGUUAACCCCGCUCCCUUCCUACUUUCCUACUAGCUCCUACUAUCUCACCUCUUAGGGACAUUCUGACUUGCUUCACUCUGGCUCUGCUCUUUAGUAUCAAUCCCUGCAUCCCUUUUGAAUUGAUCCGCUUGCACUGCAUACCUUUCUUUUGAAUCUGAUUGAUCCGCUUGCACUGCAUACCUUUCUUCUUAAUCUGACCGGCUUGACUUUGGAAUUUGACUAGUUGCGUAGUAUAACUGCUUAUCCCCGUAACCGCUCCUCAGCAUGAGAACAUCUCUAUGACCCGACGUAAAGCGUAAAGCCAAGAAAACACCUCCACGAAACGACUUUCCUCGACCGGUGCGGUACAAGCUUUAGUUUCACUUUCCUCGCCCCGAACACAGGACUUGAAAGAAGGGUUUGACUCUACUUAUACUCUGUAAACUCAUACUGAUUUAACUGUAAACUAAUACUGUUAGGGCUCAUCUACCUAUAGUCACUCUAGCCUCUACUCUGGCUACAACUACUUAUGAAACUACUCCACUCCACUCCACUACUUGCUUGACAACGAGAAACUUCCCUAGCUCCCACCUAGCUUCAAAGCAAGUACUUUACCUCUGCUCUUGCUCAUCUCAGCAAGCAGCUGGCUUCCAUCCCUCUGGCUCUUUUCACUCAGCUGGCAUACUACACUGGUUAAGAUCAAAGAGGUCAGUGAAUUAUGACUUAUGAGUGGAAUUCCUCUUAGGCAAAAUAGCUUAUGAACUCAUUCUCACAGACCUAGCUCAGCACUCUGGUUCUUGCCUCCCCUUUAGGGUGGGGCUCCAUCCUCGGAUUCUUUACUUGCGGCGGGGUUCGAUAGUACUUGCUUGCGGUGUUGGGAAGAAAGAAGACAAGCAGAUAACUACAUAAAUGAAACCAGAGGGUAUAAACCUACAUAACAGGAACAGGAACAAUGGUAUGAAAGAGUGAAUAUAGCUUCAUAUUCUGCUUUCGUCGUCUUCGUCGGCGGUAGCAACAAGUUAUUAUCUAUGUUGGCUUCUCUCUUUCUCCACUUUCUCCUUAAUAAGAUCAAUAAUAAUAAUAGUAUAGAAAUAGUAGUGAUCAGAGCCCAACUAAUCUCUCUUUGUUUUUCAUUGAAUUAAGCUAUUCUUACGGUGUUAAGUAAAGUAACCACUAAUUCCUACUGCCUGGCCUUCCACUUUGCUACUCUGGUAUGAAACCGAAUCUUCCACUCCGGCAUUCCUACAAAUAAGAAUAAGGGAAAGGUCUCUAGUACUAAAGCAAAGAAUAAGGGAAAGGUCUUCCACUCAUACUAUUCCUACUAAUAAUCAUAACUUACCUCGAUCUCAUCCCUCUCUUGCUCCCUUACGUGCUUCCUUGCCUGUUGAAGACAGGACUUGCUUAUAACACCUGUUCGAUAGGUUUCUACCUUAAUUCUUAUACAACUACUCAGUCAUAUCCCUUACUUAUCAAUCAAUACAACUACUCAGUCAUAUCCCUUACUUAGCUACUAACUUAGAUGCAGAAGAUGGGUCCUUAUACCUUAACUCAGUAUCCAUUCCCUUACUGGGUCCUAUUAAUACAACUACUCAGUCUUAUACCUAAUGCGGGCCAAGUCACUACAUUUACCUACUAGAUCCUAAUGAAACAAAUACCUUAACAAGGGCCUGGGGCAGAUGCAGAUAUAUAAGUGGUUUUCGACCUUUACGUUUUCCCGGCUUUUUUCAUAGCAACCCAGUUUUACCUACUGGCAGACCUCUUUUUGAUGAAAAGUUUACGUUUUCCCGGGUAUUUUCAUAGCUUCGUUAGUGGCGUGGUUGAGUGGUAGUAAU
rnacentral:lncRNA from 1 species